CCUACGGGUGGCAGCAGUGGGGAAUAUUGCGCAAUGGGCGAAAGCCUGACGCAGCGACGCCGCGUGAGGGAUGAAGGUCUUCGGAUCGUAAACCUCUGUCAGCAGGGAAGAACGGUCACUGUGCUAAUCAGCAGUGAAUUGACGGUCCCUGCAACGGAAGCACCGGCUAACUCCGUGCCAGCAGCCGCGGUAAUACGGAGGGUGAGAGCGUUAAUCGGAAUUACUGGGCGUAAGGCGCUCGUUGGCGGUAUGUCAAGUCAAGGGUGAACUCCCCGCGCUCAAGGUGGGAAGUGCCUUUGAAACUGGCAAACUGGAGUGUGGGAGAGGAGAGAGGAAU
rnacentral:rRNA from 1 species